GAGGCCCAGCAUAUUGCGAUGCAGCUCCUGUUUCUCUGGGAACUCCUAACAAAGUCAGAGACAGGAUUAUACAAUAGUAGAAGCACAGUGAUAUUGAGAACAAGAGACCCUGGGUAAAGGUUGUGCAGUGCUCCUAAAAAGGGCACUCCAAGAACAGUUUCAUGCCACUGUAGUUAAGGAACAUCUCACAGUUAUCAGGGGUCUCAUCAGUAAUGUUCCAGAGGGCGCUCCAGGAGAACUCCAUCACCUGAUCGCACUACGAAGCCAAAGAGAAAGGGAAAGAAACAGAUUUGCAAAUGUGGGAGCCCAGUGCAAACCAGCCACUUGUGGUUCAUCUCUGCCAUCGCCCCAGAUGAAUUCAGGGAAAACCACGGUCCUCCUUCCCCAAGCCUCCCAGCUCCUUUCCAAACCAUACAACCGCUUCCCCACAGCCCUGAGACGUACUCGUUGACAAGUUUGUCGCAAAUCUCGCUUGGCAAGAAGAUGUCAGGGUGGAGUCGGAGCGUUUCGUUGUCCAGCAGGUAGCAGAGAGUCCCCUCCAAGUUGCGAAGGCAGAAAUCUGUGCACAAGGUCAUUAGCGACUCCGGGCUGUCGGAUGCCAUCUUGAGGGAAGCAGUGGGCAGGGGAAGGACAGAAGGAAGCUUUUGGUUCAGAAGAUCCUUUCCUCAAACGAAAUCCCAGGAUGGAUUUACAGAGACAUCAGGGCAGCUAUAAGCAGAGGAGGAAGAACAAAAAAAAGGCAUUGAGAAAGGCACACUGGAAAGCAUCCUGCAAAGCUGCUGUACCAGCGAGGAUGUUGAUGGGUUUAUUUACAGCCCAUCACUUGCUGACCUCAAAAGAACCUGCAGCAUUUUGGCCUCUCUGGGACUUAAUUCCUUGGCAACCCCACCCCCAGGGGACACCGAGGGAAUGAGUUAAUAUGAAACAUGUUUGGAAAUGAGGCGACACAGCAAGAAAAUGCUUCCUCAUGGCAGGAGUUAUCUGGCUGACGAAGGGCCUCUGAAAGGGAAGUGGCAGAAACCACAGUGCUUGGUUUCCUUCAGAGUGGCUCGGAUAAACCACCAGAAAAUUUACUGUUGGGAAGAUCCUUUGUGCAGCCCCAGUGGGACCUGGUGGCCCCGUAUCUCGUGCCUGUAAUUGUUGGCCAUCGUUCCAAGUGAAGUUCAAGCUGGGUGCUUCUCUGCAGCUCCAAGCCAGAAGCUUCGUGCAAGUCCCUGAGCUAGACCAUGAAGUGGAGCAGAAGCCAGAGGGAAGCACAUGGACUGCUUUGGCUUCCCUUGCUGAGCGCAGCGAAAAGGUUUAUGCACGUGAAGGACAUCGAUGAGUGCAGCUGGAACUUGCUCACCUAAAACGUUCCAAAUUCUGUUAGAAAAAAAGUACAGGCAACUGACUGGGAAAAAGGCGAGGGACUUUUUCCUCUUCUUGGUUUUUAGCACCAGAUGAAGAAGGAUGGCGAGGCAGGCAGUCAGGGGAGGCUAUUUCUGUCCAUUUUCUUGUUUCAAAAAUCUCCUGGCUCUGCUUUUCAGGCUUGCUUGCUUGCUGGCACCGAAGGAGCCCUAGCUGAGUGCACUGACGGUGUUUAGGAGAAAUGACUGAAGAACAGCAACUCCUGUUUCACUUUCAAAAGGGUCAAAUCACGUUAGAAACAACCCUAAUGUGAACCCUUCAAUACGUUUCCAUGAGCAUACAAGAACUGUGUUGAAAUGUUUAUUUCUGAGGAAAUAAACACGUGUUUGUUUUUUUUUUCAAUAGGUGUGUCCCUACUGCAGUGAGGACACUGAAUGCUAUGGAGUUAUUCUCCUCUGCACAACAGCUGAGCAGCCUUUGCUGGGGAAGCUGUUGCAAAAUGCCUAACUAUAUGCCGUUUCUGAUCUUUAUCCUGCAGCUGCAAGGAUUGGGGCGCUUGUCUGUCUCUAGCUCUCUGCUUCUGAGUGUUCCUCUAAAGCCUCUGGUGCUCUCUUCCCUUCGUUCCUGCAGUAGCUGCACACGAUGCAAGAAUUUCAGGCAAAUUCAAAUUCAGGCACCAAAUGGUCCCUGUGGGAGACAGCAGCACAGCCCUGACUGAGGCUCCUGGCCUCCUGAUCCCUCCCUACGCUGCAGAAUGGAUUUCUGUGCAGACACAAGGGCAACACAAGUUGCAAAUCAAAGCUCUUUUCUUCCCUCUGUGUCUCAGUAAUUCUUUUUUUUGAGUGUGUUUCAGUGCCAAGGACAAGAAGUUGGCCAAGGAAUUAACCCAAGGCAGGAAGGAGCCUCAAAAAGUGAGCAAGAUCAACAGAGUUGCUCCUUACUUGGCGAUGGAGGAACUGCAGUGCUGGAUUACACCUGAGGAACACCUACCCUAAGCCUCGUCUCCCUGGGCCAAAUCUUGCUCUAGGGUAAGUUGACAAUGCUGGGACUGAACCCUGGUUGCCUUUUGGCUUUACUUGAACUGUUUCAAUAAUUCUUUCUUCCUCUAAGUGUUUUUGGGAACUAUACAUGCAGGCAGCUGUAAUGAUUUUGCUUCAGUCCCAAAUUCCUGGCCCACUGUGUUCUGACCUAGAACUUUCAAUAGCUUUUCCAGUGGGGAUCUCAAGCAGGUUCUCUGCUGGUUUUCACGCAAGACGGAAAAGGUCUCCGAGCACAAGCAGGUGAUGCAGAGAAAAAACUGAAUAAAACCCAGCAAUCACCAAAAAUGUACUUGAUGUGCUGAUCAGAGACAGUUUAAAGGGUGCAGUCUCUCUCUGGGUCACUGAGCCCUGAGCUAGCGUCGUGAUAACAUAAAAUUGAUGACUUAGGGGUGCCACGGUAACUUGGAGACCUUUGAGAUGCAUGUCACAAGGAGCACAAAUGAGUAAGAUGGGUUUUCAUCCUGAAAAAAGAAGGAAAUCCCUGAUCAACAGCUGUCCCUCUUGUAGUUAUGUCAGGAGAGAAGCCAAGGGUGAAAUGUGCCGCUGAGGGCAGAGAAUUGCCUGGCCAGUGGUGAGGUCCCAACCGAGGGAAUGCAGGUGGGAGGAAGCUGUCCUGUGCCCUGCGUGGUGUCUGCUUUGGAGACAGAUCUGCUUCAGCUCCAGAACGAGUCCCUCUCACACAUUUUGCCUGAAGCUUGCUGGAGAGAAUCUUUCCAGAAAGGCAAGAUGAACAGGAAGAUCUGAGCCAGCAGGGAAACGUGUUCUGCUGUCCCUACCAGUUCACCCGUGCCACCAGACGGGAGGUCCCUGCAGCCAGUGUUCUUCCCUGGCUUCCUACCGCUGGCCAGAGAACUUGGAAACAAACCCCCAUUGACAACCUUUUGUCACGUGGAGCUGGAAAUGGUCAGUGCUUGGGGCUUGUCCAAGCAGCUUAGAACUCUAAAGGGCACAGGCUGCCUUCCUGUUGCUCUGACGAUCCUCUGUGCCCCUCUGCCGUGGCCAGCACGAUGCAGCUGGCUGAUCCUAGCCCUAGAGAAAUCCCACGUUAACUUCUGACCUUCCCAAAAUCUACCAACAAAAUCCCGUGCAGGAAGCUAGCGCAGAGGAAAGCGCCCCAGUAAAAUAACCCCAAAGAGAAGCAUUCAUCCUCGUGAUUUACUGCGUGUAUUCGAGUAGCACCUGAGCUGCUGCUGCACCUGUGGCCCUUUAGUAUGGGACACGAGACAAACUGGUCCUGGCCUCCUCAAACUGGACUUGAGAGGUGAUGGAGGCAGGGGGAGAGGGAAGUAAGGAAGUCGAUAGCUGCACCGAUCGGUAUUGGCUCUAGAUAUAAGCUUGGUGUGCUUUGGUGAUAAAAAUAAAUGAACUAGAUAUGCUGACAAACCAUUAGCGUUUGCCUAAUCAUUAUCCUCGGGCAGCUUUCCACAGGCAAUAGAUCUGCAAGUCGCCUGCCUUGCAGACUGUCGCCAGUGCAGCCCAGCGAU